rnacentral:pre_miRNA from 1 species
UGCUGAUUUUUGCCACGGUGAUAUUUCUAAAUUAUGACUAUCACCGGGUGGAAAUUUGGCACA